rnacentral:rRNA from 1 species
UACGGAGGGUGCAAGCGUUAUCCGGAUUUACUGGGUUUAAAGGGUGCGCAGGCGGAUAUGUAAGUCAGUGGUGAAAUCUCCAGGCUUAACCUGGAAAUUGCCGUUGAUACUAUAUAUCUUGAAUGCUGUGGAGGUAAGCGGAAUAUGUCAUGUAGCGGUGAAAUGCUUAGAUAUGACAUAGAACACCAAUUGCGAAGGCAGCUUACUACGGAUUGAUUGACACUGAGGCACGAAAGCGUGGGGAUCAAACAGG